CUACCAGAGGACCGGCAGCCCGAGAUCCCGCCUCCAGCACCAGGAGUGCAGGAGCGCCUGUGACCUAGCUUCCAUCUUGGACUUGGACACCAAGGCCAGCCUGGAUUCGCCACCCCGACUGUCACAGAAGCUCAAGGAGGUUCCUUGCAAAACUCAAGGUUUAUUGUAUGAAGCACUUUCAAAUCCUUUGUUAUCAAAAGCCUUUCCCUUGAGCCUUGGAGAGGAUUACAAAGUAAUGCCUUCUUCCUUUAGCUUAUUUCUUAGGAAAUUAUCUCCAGCCCUGCCAAAGUCCAAAGGGCUGCAGGAUUUCACUGCUCUCUUCACACGUGGAACAUUUGGACAUCCCUCAUCAUUUUUUCCACUCCUAUUUCCUGAGGAGAAAACAGAAGAUCUGGGAAAGAGACUGCCUGCCUCUGGUCUCUUGGCUGCCCUGAAAGGAAGAUGCCAAAUGCAGUUCCAGGAAUGAAGCUGGGACUGUGAGCAGAUCCGUCUGUUGCUCCUCGUACCUUCUCACUUCACAGUGUGUGGCCCACUGUCAGGUGAGGGCCACACUCCUUCUGUCCAGUUGGCUGUGAGGAAGCACUGGGCCACGCUGGGGAAUUCCACACGCCAAGGAACUGCAGGAGGGCUCUGGGAGCUGAGAACAGCCUCUUGCCAACAGUCAGCAAGGAACUGAAGCUCCGUGUCAUGGAGCUGCAGAUACCGAGCUCUGCCAACAACCUGAAGGAGCCUGGAGGUAGAUCCUGCCCCAGGAGGGCCUCAGGGGAGACCCAGCCCCAGCUGACAUCUUGAUUACAGCUUUAUGAGACUCUACACAGCAGCCCCAGAUAAGCUUUAUUGGGAUUCCUGACCCAGAGAAACUGUGAGAUAAAACACAUUUGUUGUUUUAAACCCUUCA